AGUCGAGUCGUUGCCUUGGAGCGCGGUCCCUGAUCUCACCGCUGUGCGCCGCGUAAUACGUCUUUAACCUGCCUGUAAGACUGGGAUAACUCCGGGAAACCGGGGCUAAUACCGGAUAACUCAUUUCCUCGCUUGAGGAAAUGUUGAAAGGUGGCUUUUAUCUACCACUUACAGAUGGACCCGCGGCGCAUUAGCUAGUUGGUGAGGUAACGGCUCACCAAGGCGACGAUGCGUAGCCGACCUGACAGGGUGAUCGGCCACACUGGGACUGAUACACGGCCCAGACUCCUACGGGAGGCAGCAGUAGGGAAUCUUCCGCAAUGGACGAAAGUCUGACGGAGCAACGCCGCGUGAGUGAUGAAGGUUUUCGGAUCGUAAAGCUCUGUUGUUAGGGAAGAACAAGUGCCGUUCGAAUAGGGCGGCACCUUGACGGUACCUAACCAGAAAGCCACGGCUAACUACGUGCCAGCAGCCGCGGUAAUACGUAGGUGGCAAGCGUUGUCCGGAAUUAUUGGGCGUAAAGCGCGCGCAGGUGGUUCCUUAAGUCUGAUGUGAAAGCCCACGGCUCAACCGUGGAGGGUCAUUGGAAACUGGGGAACUUGAGUGCAGAAGAGGAAAGUGGAAUUCCAAGUGUAGCGGUGAAAUGCGUAGAUAUUUGGAGGAACACCAGUGGCGAAGGCGACUUUCUGGUCUGUAACUGACACUGAGGCGCGAAAGCGUGGGGAGCAAACAGGAUUAGAUACCCUGGUAGUCCACGCCGUAAACGAUGAGUGCUAAGUGUUAGGGGGUUUCCGCCCCUUAGUGCUGCAGCUAACGCAUUAAGCACUCCGCCUGGGGAGUACGGUCGCAAGACUGAAACUCAAAGGAAUUGACGGGGGCCCGCACAAGCGGUGGAGCAUGUGGUUUAAUUCGAAGCAACGCGAAGAACCUUACCAGGUCUUGACAUCCUCUGACAACCCUAGAGAUAGGGCUUUCCCCUUCGGGGGACAGAGUGACAGGUGGUGCAUGGUUGUCGUCAGCUCGUGUCGUGAAGAUUGUUGGGUUAG
rnacentral:rRNA from 2 species